GGGCGUCGGAGAUCGGAUACGUGCGACCCAGGUGUCGUGGGCUCCUGCCGCGAGGUGGUCCCGUGCGCGCAGUCCCGUGGUCCCGGUGCACCUGCCCAGGCUCCACCUGCCUCGACCUUUGGUGGGAGCACCUCCCUGCCCCCAAGGCUCCCGCGCCACAUCCUGCCCAAAGGUGGGAGCCAGGGGCCACUCUAGCCGGACUGGUGAAGCUCCUCCUCCAAGCGCUCAUGGAACAGUCAGGAAACUGAGGCCAGGAGAGGCAGGGACUGGCCGGGGACCCACCAGACGGGGGGUCAGGUCUCACCCCCGAAGGCUGUGGUCAUGUGCCCGGAGGGACGCAAAGGUGACACCGGGAGGCCCAGGACUGGCUGGUCUAGCCUGACACUAGCCUGAUCCGACUUAAAUCAACCGAUGAAAUCGGGAAACGUCUGGCCGAAUCCCGAUUCACCUGCCCUACAGAGUUGUGCGUGUGCCCCGUCGCCCAGGAGAGCCACCCUGGACCCGGGGAGAGAGUGGCUGCACAGAGGUUUUGGGAAGCAGGGCCUGGACUUGGCCUGGGAAGGCCUCCUUCAGCGCCCCGGCGCCGCUGUAAGGUCCUCGUUCACUGGUCCUGGGACCGGUACUUGGAGUCCCCGGAGUCAGAGCCCGAGGAGUCCGCCGCAGGAGCAAAAGCCGGGUGGGCUCCAGAGCCCGGCCCAACGGUAUCGGGGGUCUCGGCGUAUCUGCAGGCAGGCGUGGUAUCUGGAGCGACUCCUGCAGGGACCCGGUUGCCAGCAGGCGACCUGGGACCUGUGCGGGGACAGCGGGCACCUGAGCAGAGUCAGCUGGGUCCUGCUUCUGCUGGUUCCACUGUUCCUGCUUCUGCUCCCAACACUGUUCCUGCCAUCGCCCUUCUCCCCGCCCCUGCCACUGCCCUUGCUCCCACAUGGAUGUCGGCCAAAAAUCAAGGGACUGAAGACCUAUACAGGGUGCCUUUGUUAUUUUCUUUUAUUUUUUGUUUAUGAUACUUUAUUUCAAAUUUAUUCUCCAAUCCCUGAGCCCGACCUCCCACCAAAAUGUCUCUUCCUCUUCUCCCUUAUCCUUUUUCUCUUCUACUUUUAGCUGUUAUUUUAUUUAUUCAUUAGUUAUAAUCUAUAUUAAUCUUCAAUAAAAUGUUUUAUUUA